rnacentral:rRNA from 1 species
UACAGAGGGUGCAAGCGUUGUUCGGAAUUAUUGGGCGUAAAGGGCGCGUAGGCGGUGCCACAAGUCACCUGUGAAAUCUCCGGGCUUAACUCGGAGCCUGCAGGCGAAACUGUGGUGCUGGAGUGUGGGAGAGGUGCGUGGAAUUCCCGGUGUAGCGGUGAAAUGCGUAGAUAUCAGGAGGAACACCGGUGGCGAAGGCGGAUCUCUGGGCCUUACCUGACGCUCAGGUGCGAAAGCUAGGGGAGCGAACAGG